AACGAACGCUGGCGGCAGGCUUAACACAUGCAAGUCGAGCGCCCCGCAAGGGGAGCGGCAGACGGGUGAGUAACGCGUGGGAAUCUACCCAUCUCUACGGAAUAACGCAUGGAAACGUGUGCUAAUACCGUAUACGUCCUUCGGGAGAAAGAUUUAUCGGAGAUGGAUAAGCCCGCGUUGGAUUAGCUAGUUGGUGGGGUAAAGGCCUACCAAGGCGACGAUCCAUAGCUGGUCUGAGAGGAAGAUCAGCCACACUGGGACUGAGACACGGCCCAGACUCCUACGGGGGGCAGCAGUGGAGAAUAUUGGUCAAUGGGCGCAAGCCUGAUCCAGCCAUGCCGCGUGAGUGAUGGAGGCCCUAGGGUUGUAAAGCUCUUUCACCGGUGAAGAUAAUGACGGUAACCGGAGAAGAAGCCCCGGCUAACUUCGUGCCAGCCGCCGCCGUAACAC
rnacentral:rRNA from 1 species